UACGGAGGGUGCAAGCGUUAUCCGGAAUUAUUGGGCGUAAAGCGCGCGCAGGCGGUCCUUUAAGUCUGAUGUGAAAGCCCACGGCUCAACCGUGGAGGGUCAUUGGAAACUGGGGGACUUGAGUACAGAAGAGAAGAGUGGAAUUCCACGUGUAGCGGUGAAAUGCGUAGAGAUGUGGAGGAACACCAGUGGCGAAGGCGACUCUUUGGUCUGUAACUGACGCUGAGGCGCGAAAGCGUGGGGAGCAAACAGG
rnacentral:rRNA from 1 species